rnacentral:lncRNA from 10 species
GUCAGUCUUGGCUGGCAGACCUGUACUCCGUACUCCGUACUUCGUAGUCGCAGCGGCGCGGUCUUCGGCAGUCUAGUCAUCCACCGCCAUCCUGGGCCCCACGUGUUGCCUGACCAUUCCUGAGCCCAGGUGGGAGCCGUGGCUGAGGUGACGGUCUCAAAGUGGAAGAGCUUACUGUCACAGCAACUCCUUUGCAAGAUGCCCCGGUAAAUCACGUUGCAGAGACCCCAACUCUGCCUUCCUGGAACUAGGCCUGCGUUUUCUCUGAACCAUUAUUUCAUGGGGAAAAUGAAAUCUACUUCAUGUGCCUGGUCUACUUACUCCUUCAGAAGUGAUUUCUGAGCCUGUCCAUGAAACUGGGAGGCGACCGUGUUAGCUGCCAGUUCCUGACAGCCACCUCUCACCAGUGGCUUCACUCUGUGUCCCUGACCCAGCACAUGGCACAAGAGUGCCUGCCAUCCGUCAGUGUUUCUACAGCAGCAAUCCCAAGAUGCUGGAGCUAGAGGGGACCUGACCUGAGAGAAGAUACCUUCAGUGGCUGCCAGGCUGUUCCUUGGAACCUGUGCAGGGAUGAGGCCUGCCUGUGUUAAUACACCUAGUGAGGAGUGGAGCUGAAUUUGAAUGCAAGCCUUGGCACCUUAAUUGAGCAAGUUUGAAACCUCGCUUGUUGCCCUUCUGGAAGGAGUCAGGAAUUUCCAGUUCUGGGCCUGGGCUGUGGGUCUGGCAGACAGACCUCUGGCCCUAGGUUUGGGUGCCAGGUUCUCUGCUUCCAGAAUGAGAAGCUUUGCUGUGCACCAGGACCUGGGCCCUUCUGGUAUCUCCUGAAUGAAAAACAAGGGAUAUUUAAUAAAUAUGGAUUUAAAUAUGUGAUUUAGUCUUGCCUGUUUUUUACAUAUGCCAGAUGCAAAGAUAGGAAGACCCUGCGUCUUCUUGAAGGAGUUGUCAGCUAAGUCCAAGGGAUCCCCAAGUAUUUCACCAUUCUCAAUGCUCAUGCUUGUAGAUAGCCACUUGGAACUCUGAUCAUCUUAUGUGCAUGUGCCACCAGUUUCAACUGACAGUGGCAAGCUGUGGUGAGAGUUCACAAGCCAAGGCCAACUGGCUGAGUUCUACAGUGAGGUGAUGGUGCACAAAGGCACUGUCAUCAGGAGCUUUACCUUCCAGGAGCAUUUGAUGGUUGGCUCGAUAAGACAUUCUGUCUCAUCAGAUAGUCUUAGGUAUUCACCUAAGCAUUCAAACAAGUUACAGAAGUAAUACCCUUAAUAUGUGUGAUGUGCCCCAUGUUGGUAUUGGGGAUGUUGUCAAGGAAUGUUGCAGCAGGCCAGGCCAAGCCCUGACAAAUAGAGCCAUUAAAGUACCAGUGACUUUUUUUUUUUUUUUGAGAUGGAGUCUCUGUCAUCCAGGCUGGAGUGCAGUGGCAUGAUCUCAGCUCACUGCAACGUCUGCCUCCCGGAUGAAGUGAUUUUCCUGCCUCAGCCUCCCAAGUAGCUAGGAUUACAGGCGCCCACCACCAUGCCCAGCUAAUUUUGUAUUUUUAGUAGAGACGGGGUUUCACCAUCUUGGCCAGGCUGGUCUUGGAACUCCUGACCUCAUGAUACACCCACCUCAGCCUCCCAAAGUGCUAGGAUUACAGGCGUGAGCCACCAGGCCCAGCAUUUUUUUUUUUUUUUUUGAGACGAAGUCUUGCUCUGUCGCCCAGGCUAGAGUGCGGUGGCAUGAUAGCUCACCAUAACCUCCACCUCCCGAGUUCAAGCGAUUCUCCUGUCCCAGCCUCUUAAGUAGCUGGGAUUACAGGCAUAUGCCACCAUGCCUUAAUUUUUGUAUUUUUAGUAGACGUGGGGUUUUACCAUGUUGGUCAGGCUGGUCUCGAACUCCCUGACCUCAGGUGAUCCACCUGUCUCAGUCUCCCAAAGUGCUGGGAUUAUAGACGUGAGCCACCACACCCAGCCUCCAGUGACUUACAUCCAAUUUACUACUGACAGUGAAUGGAAAAGCACCCAAAGGGGCCUGCAACAGGAGGCACAGCAUCUCCCCUUGUUGAGGAGCCAAUUCUAGACUGCAGCUGAGCAGAUUGUCUAGUCUGCAGCUAUACCAUGGGGGGAGUGGGGUACGAACCGGAAGUCUCACAUCCCUGCUUAGAAAAAAAAUCCCAGGAGACAGUAACUCCUGAUAGCCUCCCAGAAGGAUGGAGCGGGGAAUGGAGCUGGCCUUGUGGCAGCGCCUCCUAGGCCUCCACUCUCAGUUCCAGGAGGCUCAGUUGAGCUGUGUGGCCUGUGGCCUAUGAGAGUAUACCCCUAGGUAGAGCCAUUCCCCUACAAUUAGCCCAAUGGUAUCACCUCAGAUGAGGUAAAAAAAAAAAAUUUUUAAUAGAAAUACUAAGUUAUGGUACAGUUGUGUAGAGCCGAAAAAGCAACUCCCCUGAAAGGGGACAUUUUUCUGGGGCUGGGGAUUUGCUGCAAGGUCAGCACCAACAGAGCAAGCCUGGGAUUUGAAGGUUGCAACGAGGAGGGUGAGGGCAAGGGACCUGCAGGUGCAGCCGUAGGAGCCCUGGUGGAGGCAGGCAUUGUGAAACUGAUCCAGAUGAGAUAAUGAGAGGGAAACUCACUGGGGCCAGGAUGGUUUCCUCAGCCCCUGCCAGGCUUGAGUUGGUGGUGGCCCCUCCUUGCUGUCCUUCCAUUAGGAGCCUCUGCCUUUGUUCAUCUACCUGUUCUACCAGUCAUACCCUGUAAGGAGCAUGCCCUGGGGAAGCUGCAGAUAGAGCUACCAUUUGUCCUCCCUUCUGAGGACCAGGCCGUGACUCUGACUGACCGACUUUUCCCUGGGAUUUGAGUAGGACCCACUGAAUUCAGUGCUAUAAGGGCCCAGAGGUCUGUUGACCCAGGAGGGAACUUCCUUUGUAGUGAUGUCAUCUCAGCCUCGGUUUUAAUAUAUGUAAAAUGAAAAUAACAGUAACUCCUACAUGUGUCAUGAGAAUCAAAUGAGGCAAUGCAUGGCAAAUUUGUGCAAACUACCAAGGAAGGACGCCCAGGGUCCCAGCAACCAGCAGCAGCUAAAGCAAGGGCGGGCAAACUCCUCCCACCAGCCAAAUCUCUGAGCUAAGAGUGGUCUUGACAUUUUUAAGUGGUUAGUGGUGGGGGAAAUACCCAAAAUAGUAUGAUUACGUGACAGAUGAAAAGUUUGCGAAGUUCAGAUUUCGGUGUCCUUAACGUUUUACUGGAAUACAGCCAUCUUGGUUCCACUGGUUGGCUUGACUCCCUGGGGGUUGGGGAAGUGAAACUUGAAAAGACAGAUGAGCUGGCAAGAGUCUGGGUGAGAAUUCCCAGACUUGAGUGUAGGUUUGGGAAACCCUUCAAAAGCACCAGCCCAAGAGCCUGGGGGUGGGGAGGAGGCCACACUUGUCAGAGUUCCGAAGGACUGACUUUGAAUUUGCCCAAGAGGAGCCCCAGGUCUGGCCCAGGGUGGAGCCAGAGGCUGCCCACUUACAAAUUUGGGGAUUUUUCAGGCCAGUGGCCCCUUAUUGCAGUGGUGCGUGACUCAGUUUUAUUAGGUACUUGAAUAAGUACUUUCAGUUUUAUCAGGAAUGCAUUUGCUUUAAGGUAUUCGAGAGAAAAAAAUAAACUUAACUUGCCUAUCCAUUACUUCAAAGUUUAAAAAAUGGGAUGACUGAAAGACAAUAGUUAAACUAGUGCUUAUGAGUACAACAAAUCUCAAAGGCAGCACAUGAAUGACUGAAGUUUGGGAAUUCUGGAGUCUGCCCUUUGACCUCCCUGUAUGAGGGAAGGGGUGAAAGAGAAAUGUCACCAGUCUAUUUGUAGGAUGAGAGAGAACUGCAUCCAUUUGACCUUUGAUGAGAGAAUCGCCCCAGUGUUCCUAGAGGAUGGGUGUGACCUGCCCCAGUCUGUCCUGGGAUGAAAAAGAACUUUUUCCAGUCUGCCUGGAAGCUAAGAGAACUGCACCCCUCCCACUUCUUCCAGGAGCACUAAGUGUCAGGAAUGCAGUGUCUGGAGAUUUUGGCCACUCCCUAAAUGCAGCCGCUCCCCAAAUGCGCUGCCUCAUCUUCAAAGUGCAGGGACAGCAGCUCUGAGAUGAGGCCACAGGGCUCCAGGCAUGUUCCUGGUCCUCACUGCAGUUUAUGGGGGAUCGGCUGGACACAAGUACAAGGCAGAGGACAGUUAGGGGCACAGGGGUCCCACUGAAGGCCAGCCCCAUGCAGAGGAUGCUCUGGGGUCCUCUGUCCCUCCCCCGUGGCUGGGGUGGGGAAUUGCAGUGCUAGGACCACUGGCCCUUGGCAGGUCACACAAGAAGCUUUGCUCGUCUACACCCCAGUGUGGCCUUCACACUGCAAAGAAGGCUGUUGCCCCCACCCCAAAGGCCUGGGCAUUAGGAUCCUUUUUCAUUUUUGUAUUAAUGUACAAUGUACAUACAGUAUAUUGCAUCUAGUGUUCAGUUCUGACUUGAGAGACACACACAGCCAGGUAACCAAGAUCACGUCAAAAAAUCUUUCUUUAAAGUCCCACAAGUGACUCUAACGUGCUGCCAGGGUUGGAAGCCAACCCACGGAGUCUUGUCUCCUGCUUGUGGGUGGAGGGGAGCUUCCGAAGGAGGCCAGCGAAGAACCCUCCAAAGCGGGGAGGACCCAGCAUCCGGCCCCUCGCCCCUGGCGUGCAAACGGGUCAGACCGUUAGGCACAGCCUCCUUGUGGGGCGCAGGGACAGGAAGCAGGGUUUAGAGCACCUCGAGGGGGAAGGAGUGGCAAGUGCGGAGGGCAGCCCCUCCCAGGACUAGAACCCACUUCCUACUUUACACCAGCACUGGAGGAGGCUGGUGGGGCAGGGCGGGGGCGGUGGGGCCUCCCCUAGCCUUCCCUCCCCCUCUCCUUCACUGUCCUUCCAGCAGGCACAGGAAGGUGAGGCAAGGUGUUUCCAGCCGGCAGGAUGGAGGACGAGGAAGGCCCUGAGUAUGGCAAACCUGACUUUGUGCUUUUGGACCAAGUGACCAUGGAGGACUUCAUGAGGAACCUGCAGCUCAGGUAGGCCCAGGGCAGGAGGCAGUGGCUCCCCUCCUCCAGGGUCUCCCACCUUGCGUCCUCGCAGAGACCUGAGGGAAAGAGGAAGGCACGCUGCUGUCCAAGGGAGGGGGCAGUGGCACACACCCACCCAGACCAGAUGGGGCUGAAAUGAGUGCCUCAAAGCACGGCCCCAGGGGACAGGAACAGACAAGGAGGCAACUGUCCCUGUCAGGGCUGGCAAGUCAGCACCGGAGCUGCCCACCACCUCAACCCACCCCUGCCUCCCACACAGUCCAGGCAUCUUCUGCCCCUUCUUUCCUGCCCGACGGGGCCAGGGCAUGACACUUCUUGGACAGAUACAUACCAGGCACUAUCUUUCCAGGAGGGACCAGGGGCACCUCCCUCCAGCCACUUCCCAGCCAGUUGUUGAUGCUCCCUCGAUGCAUCUCAUCCAUGGGGCCUGGCCUGAGCCCUGGGGACACUGAGAUGAAGCAGUCAGGCUCCACCCUAGGGUCCAAACAUUCCCACCAAGUUGAGGUGACAUUCUCCUGGGGUACAUGGAGUAUCACAGGACACAGUUGGUAGAAGUGAUAUUGGAGCCCAAUUUACCAUCAAGGAGGGCAGGUGGAGGGCAGGGAGAAGCCCGGGAGGUAGGGGCAUGGCACAGUAGGGUGGCCAUACAGGCAGCUGGGCUUCCUGCCAGGACUCCCAGGGAGGGGCAGAAGGCCACUCGCUGUGUACUCCGGAAGCUCCCUGGGGAGAGCUUGGGGACCAGGAUCCCCACUAAGCACCGAAGGCAAGAGACCACGAGCCUGGCUCAAAGAGGAGGGCUAGCCAGGACGUGAGCUAAGCACUUUGUGCACAUUGUUCUACCUCAUUCUUAUAAAAUGAGCUUAUGAAACAUUGUCCUCUCUAUUUUGAUGAGGAGAACACUGAGCCCUGGAGACGUGGGUGACUUGUGCCCUCAUCCCCAGCUUGUAGGAGGAUGGGAGCUAGGCCCAGGAAAACCCAUGUCAGAGGUGGUGGAGAAAGAGGAACCUCAGGACAGGCCCAC